rnacentral:rRNA from 1 species
UACGAAGGGGGCUAGCGUUGCUCGGAAUCACUGGGCGUAAAGCGCACGUAGGCGGCUUUUUAAGUCAGGGGUGAAAUCCUGGAGCUCAACUCCAGAACUGCCUUUGAUACUGAGAAGCUUGAGUCCGGGAGAGGUGAGUGGAACUGCGAGUGUAGAGGUGAAAUUCGUAGAUAUUGGGAAGAACACCGGUGGCGAAGGCGGCGCUCUGGACCGAGACUGACGCUGAGGCGCGAAAGCGUGGGGAGCAAACAGG